UGGACCAGUGAUAAUGACCAUGGGCGUAGCAGUCAUGGGAGAUGGAUAGUAUGUGUCUGGGACUUUGGGGUCCGA